rnacentral:rRNA from 1 species
CCUACGGGUGGCAGCAGUGAUGAAUAUUGGUCAAUGGACGAGAGUCUGAACCAGCCAAGUAGCGUGAAGGAUGACUGCCCUACGGGUUGUAAACUUCUUUUAUAAAGGAAUAAAAUGAUCCACGUGUGGGAUUUUGUAUGUACUUUAUGAAUAAGGAUCGGCUAACUCCGUGCCAGCAGCCGCGGUAAUACGGAGGAUCCGAGCGUUAUCCGGAUUUAUUGGGUUUAAAGGGAGCGUAGAUGGAUUGUUAAGUCAGUUGUGAAAGUUUGCGGCUCAACCGUAAAAUUGCAGUUGAUACUGGCAGUCUUGAGUACAGUAGAGGUGGGCGGAAUUCGUGGUGUAGCGGUGAAAUGCUUAGAUAUCACGAAGAACUCCGAUUGCGAAGGCAGCCUACUAGACUGCAACUGACACUGAUGCUCGAAAGUGUGGGUAUCAAACAGGAUUAGAUACCCGUGUAGUC